rnacentral:rRNA from 2 species
UUAAGCGACUAAGCGUACACGGUGGAUGCCCUGGCAGUCAGAGGCGAUGAAGGACGUGCUAAUCUGCGAUAAGCGUCGGUAAGGUGAUAUGAACCGUUAUAACCGGCGAUUUCCGAAUGGGGAAACCCAGUGUGUUUCGACACACUAUCAUUAACUGAAUCCAUAGGUUAAUGAGGCGAACCGGGGGAACUGAAACAUCUAAGUACCCCGAGGAAAAGAAAUCAACCGAGAUUCCCCCAGUAGCGGCGAGCGAACGGGGAGGAGCCCAGAGCCUGAAUCAGUGUGUGUGUUAGUGGAAGCGUCUGGAAAGGCGCGCGAUACAGGGUGACAGCCCCGUACACAAAAAUGCACAUGCUGUGAGCUCGAUGAGUAGGGCGGGACACGUGGUAUCCUGUCUGAAUAUGGGGGGACCAUCCUCCAAGGCUAAAUACUCCUGACUGACCGAUAGUGAACCAGUACCGUGAGGGAAAGGCGAAAAGAACCCCGGCGAGGGGAGUGAAAAAGAACCUGAAACCGUGUACGUACAAGCAGUGGGAGCCUCUUUAUGGGGUGACUGCGUACCUUUUGUAUAAUGGGUCAGCGACUUAUAUUCUGUAGCAAGGUUAACCGAAUAGGGGAGCCGAAGGGAAACCGAGUCUUAACUGGGCGUUAAGUUGCAGGGUAUAGACCCGAAACCCGGUGAUCUAGCCAUGGGCAGGUUGAAGGUUGGGUAACACUAACUGGAGGACCGAACCGACUAAUGUUGAAAAAUUAGCGGAUGACUUGUGGCUGGGGGUGAAAGGCCAAUCAAACCGGGAGAUAGCUGGUUCUCCCCGAAAGCUAUUUAGGUAGCGCCUCGUGAAUUCAUCUCCGGGGGUAGAGCACUGUUUCGGCAAGGGGGUCAUCCCGACUUACCAACCCGAUGCAAACUGCGAAUACCGGAGAAUGUUAUCACGGGAGACACACGGCGGGUGCUAACGUCCGUCGUGAAGAGGGAAACAACCCAGACCGCCAGCUAAGGUCCCAAAGUCAUGGUUAAGUGGGAAACGAUGUGGGAAGGCCCAGACAGCCAGGAUGUUGGCUUAGAAGCAGCCAUCAUUUAAAGAAAGCGUAAUAGCUCACUGGUCGAGUCGGCCUGCGCGGAAGAUGUAACGGGGCUAAACCAUGCACCGAAGCUGCGGCAGCGACGCUUAUGCGUUGUUGGGUAGGGGAGCGUUCUGUAAGCCUGUGAAGGUGUGCUGUGAGGCAUGCUGGAGGUAUCAGAAGUGCGAAUGCUGACAUAAGUAACGAUAAAGCGGGUGAAAAGCCCGCUCGCCGGAAGACCAAGGGUUCCUGUCCAACGUUAAUCGGGGCAGGGUGAGUCGACCCCUAAGGCGAGGCCGAAAGGCGUAGUCGAUGGGAAACAGGUUAAUAUUCCUGUACUUGGUGUUACUGCGAAGGGGGGACGGAGAAGGCUAUGUUGGCCGGGCGACGGUUGUCCCGGUUUAAGCGUGUAGGCUGGUUUUCCAGGCAAAUCCGGAAAAUCAAGGCUGAGGCGUGAUGACGAGGCACUACGGUGCUGAAGCAACAAAUGCCCUGCUUCCAGGAAAAGCCUCUAAGCAUCAGGUAACAUCAAAUCGUACCCCAAACCGACACAGGUGGUCAGGUAGAGAAUACCAAGGCGCUUGAGAGAACUCGGGUGAAGGAACUAGGCAAAAUGGUGCCGUAACUUCGGGAGAAGGCACGCUGAUAUGUAGGUGAAGUCCCUCGCGGAUGGAGCUGAAAUCAGUCGAAGAUACCAGCUGGCUGCAACUGUUUAUUAAAAACACAGCACUGUGCAAACACGAAAGUGGACGUAUACGGUGUGACGCCUGCCCGGUGCCGGAAGGUUAAUUGAUGGGGUCAGCGCAAGCGAAGCUCUUGAUCGAAGCCCCGGUAAACGGCGGCCGUAACUAUAACGGUCCUAAGGUAGCGAAAUUCCUUGUCGGGUAAGUUCCGACCUGCACGAAUGGCGUAAUGAUGGCCAGGCUGUCUCCACCCGAGACUCAGUGAAAUUGAACUCGCUGUGAAGAUGCAGUGUACCCGCGGCAAGACGGAAAGACCCCGUGAACCUUUACUAUAGCUUGACACUGAACAUUGAGCCUUGAUGUGUAGGAUAGGUGGGAGGCUUAGAAGUGUGGACGCCAGUCUGCAUGGAGCCGACCUUGAAAUACCACCCUUUAAUGUUUGAUGUUCUAACGUUGACCCGUAAUCCGGGUUGCGGACAGUGUCUGGUGGGUAGUUUGACUGGGGCGGUCUCCUCCUAAAGAGUAACGGAGGAGCACGAAGGUUGGCUAAUCCUGGUCGGACAUCAGGAGGUUAGUGCAAUGGCAUAAGCCAGCUUGACUGCGAGCGUGACGGCGCGAGCAGGUGCGAAAGCAGGUCAUAGUGAUCCGGUGGUUCUGAAUGGAAGGGCCAUCGCUCAACGGAUAAAAGGUACUCCGGGGAUAACAGGCUGAUACCGCCCAAGAGUUCAUAUCGACGGCGGUGUUUGGCACCUCGAUGUCGGCUCAUCACAUCCUGGGGCUGAAGUAGGUCCCAAGGGUAUGGCUGUUCGCCAUUUAAAGUGGUACGCGAGCUGGGUUUAGAACGUCGUGAGACAGUUCGGUCCCUAUCUGCCGUGGGCGCUGGAGAACUGAGGGGGGCUGCUCCUAGUACGAGAGGACCGGAGUGGACGCAUCACUGGUGUUCGGGUUGUCAUGCCAAUGGCACUGCCCGGUAGCUAAAUGCGGAAGAGAUAAGUGCUGAAAGCAUCUAAGCACGAAACUUGCCCCGAGAUGAGUUCUCCCUGACCCUUUAAGGGUCCUGAAGGAACGUUGAAGACGACGACGUUGAUAGGCCGGGUGUGUAAGCGCAGCGAUGCGUUGAGCUAACCGGUACUAAUGAACCGUGAGGCUUAACCUU